GGAGCUCUAGCCACAGCCCUGAAAAUCAGAUAUUAAACUUGUAAACUAUAACGCAUAUAUCACAACAAUGGAUUCCAACAGAAGCAUCGAAGCAUCACUAUUCUAAUAAGUUGAGCUCAUUAGUUAUACUUUUCUAAACUAGAAAAGGUAAUGGUCUUAAUCUAUGUAUAUACUACGACCAAUUCAGGACAGACACAUGUUCCAGUUUGGUUUACCUGUCUUUUCGUUUAGCAAAGAACCGGUGAAGAGAGGCUCUUCUUGCAAUGCGUUCCACGACUUGAUGUUCCUCUUUUGUUUGACGAUCAUCGUUGUUUCCAGAACUCGUGGGUUCAUUCAGAUCAGGAAUCACAACGUUGCGUUCGUUGUUAAUGUUCAUAUCAAGAUUCUGAGUCUUCUUUGAGUCAACAAGCAAUUGGAUUCUCCCCAACCAUAAUCUCAAAGGCAGUGAUUUUAUCAGCCACCGUCCCAGACUUCUGAGCAGAAAUAACCAUCUUCAUAUCUCCACUCUUCCCUUUCGACGCCACAAAGUCCUCAGCGUACUGCCACAUCAGCCUCUCCCCCAUCUCCCUCUUCACCUCCACCACACCCAUCACAUCCCCCACCGCCACUUUCCUGCCAAAGACCUUCUCCUCCAGCUCCUCCGCGUCGUUAUACCACUCCGAGCUCAGCAAACCCGCUUUCACCAACGGAAGCUUAGGCAAAGCCUUGAACUUUUCGAACCGCUUCGCCUUGAACCCACUGUUCUCGUCCUCAAUCGAUAAAAAAUCAGCCUUUGGCUUAGGGUUCACCGUCUGCUUCGCCGGAGCUGCGUCUUUAGGGGUUUGCUUCUUAGCUUCCUUUGGAUUGUUCUUGACUGCGUCUCCUUCCUUCUUAGGGUUCUUACGUUUCUGGGCUUUUGGGGGUUUGCGGAAAUCAGAGUCGUUGAAGCCUGAAGAAGGGAGAGAUGAAGGUAAGCCGAGAGAGGAGGCGAAUGAAGCGAUCUCGGAUGUUGUGAGAGCAUUCAUCUCCUUCGUUGGCUUUGAUUCCGACAUGAUUAGGGUUUAAUCGAUCUCUCUUUUGGGAUUCUACAAAAGCUUUAAGCUGCUGGUUAGGGUUUUAGAAAGAGCACAAGGAAGCAGACGAGAGUGGCAUAAGUGUAAAUUACGACUUUUAGAGCCCAAUCCCGAACUGUAGAGAUUAUUAAGAUUCAAGGCCCAAAUUUGUAAGGACUUAGGAUUGAGGCCCAAACUCUAAAGACUCGGUGAUAGCGUUUUUACCUAUAGGCAGAUACUAAUGCCUUCAUUUCAUCUUGGACAUUCCUGAGUUGACAUUUUAGUGAAGUAGUUUAAUUUUGAAGCAUAUUGUAGAGUGAAAUGAUAUUUAAAUCUUUUUGUUUUACAAGCGGGAUCCCUUGUAAGAAUGCAAAAUCCAAUUAACUUACCACAUGAUUAGAAUUUGAAUGGUUUCCUACUAAAUAUUCUUUGCCUUUAAAAUCUGAGGACCAGCCUUGCACAUGGAUUUACAUAGAAUUAGCUUAUGCUUUUGAAAUGCACAUCCAUGCAUGGUUAAAAUGGCUAAGUUCAGUGGUCAUACAACAAGUGUUCUAUGUAUAUUCCAAUAAGUUUUUUUUUUUUUAACACCAUAUUCCAAUAAGUUGUACCGUCACUUCAGCAGCUGGAGACAAGACUUCGGGGGUUCUAUAAUGUUUUUGGAAUAGAUUCCACUAUCUUCCGUCACAUAAGAAUAUAAACGACAAUUCAAAUUAUAAACAUAUAUUUAGAAACGAGUAUGUAUGUAUGACUACGUAAUACAACCACAAAGAAUCAAAACAUUUAUUAUGUGGCUUCGAAUCCUAAAUAAGUUAAACUCCAAACAUGCCCUUUUAUAUGUCCUAAAGCUUGAGUUCGAGAUCUUUUGAACACCGUUCUUCUUCGUCCACUUCCAUCGACAUAUCGUUAUGUCUCUGUGGUUUUGAGGGUGUUGCAGGCUGUUGUGAGGGUUGUCCUGCCUCUACUGAUGGACCGACCAUUUGUGGCUUGGGAGGAAGAUGACCACCGUUUUGGUUCACUUGAUACGGAGCUCUAGCCACAGCCCUGAAAAUCAGAUAUUAAACUUGUAAACUAUAACGCAUAUAUCACAACAAUGGAUUCCAACAGAAGCAUCGAAGCAUCACUAUUCUAAUAAGUUGAGCUCAUUAGUUAUACUUUUCUAAACUAGAAAAGGUAAUGGUCUUAAUCUAUGUAUAUACUACGACCAAUUCAGGACAGACACAUGUUCCAGUUUGGUUUACCUGUCUUUUCGUUUAGCAAAGAACCGGUGAAGAGAGGCUCUUCUUGCAAUGCGUUCCACGACUUGAUGUUCCUCUUUU
rnacentral:lncRNA from 1 species